CCUACGGGAGGCAGCAGUGAGGAAUAUUGGUCAAUGGGCGCGAGCCUGAACCAGCCAAGUCGCGUGAGGGAAGACGGUCCUAUGGAUUGUAAACCUCUUUUGUCGGGGAGCAAAAGACGCCACGCGUGGCGUUCCGAGAGUACCCGAAGAAAAAGCAUCGGCUAACUCCGUGCCAGCAGCCGCGGUAAUACGGAGGAUGCGAGCGUUAUCCGGAUUUAUUGGGUUUAAGGGGUGCGCAGGCGGAAGAUCAAGUCAGCGGGAAAAUUGAGAGGCUCAACCUCUUCGAGCCGUUGAAACUGGUUUUCUUGAGUGAGCGAGAAGUAUGCGGAAUGCAGGGUGUAGCGGUGAAAUGCAUAGAUAUCACGCAGAACUCCGAUUGCGAAGGCAGCAUACCGGCGCUCAACUGACGCUCAUGCACGAAAGUGUGGGUAUCGAACAGGAUUAGAUACCCGGGUAGUC
rnacentral:rRNA from 1 species